GAAUUGACGGGGGCCCGCACAAGCGGUGGAGCAUGUGGUUUAAUUCGACGCAACGCGAAGAACCUUACCAGGGCUUGACAUCGCCUGACCGGUCUAGAAAUAGGCAAUUCUCUUCGGAGACAGGCAGACAGGUGGUGCAUGGCUGUCGUCAGCUCGUGUCGUGAGAUGUUGGGUUAAGUCCCGCAACGAGCGCAACCCUUGUGAUUAGUUGCUACGCAAGAGCACUCUAAUCAGACUGCCGUUGACAAAACGGAGGAAGGUGGGGACGACGUCAAAUCAUCAUGCCCCUUAUGAUCUGGGCUACACACGUACUACAAUGGCCAUCAACAAAGGGAAGCAAAGCCGCGGGGCGGAGCAAAUCCCCAAAAAUGGUCCCAGUUCGGAUCGCAGGCUGCAACCCGCCUGCGUGAAGCCGGAAUUGCUAGUAAUCGCGGAUCAUCAUGCCGCGGUGAAUACGUUCCCGGGCCUUGUACACACCG
rnacentral:rRNA from 1 species